UAAUACGGGGGGGGCAAGCGUUGUUCGGAUUUACUGGGCGUAAAGAGCUCGUAGGCGGCUUGCUUAGUCGAACGUGAAAUCCCUUGGCUCAACUGAGGAACUGCGUCCGAUACUGGCAGGCUUGAAUCCGGGAGAGGGAUGCGGAAUUCCAGGUGUAGCGGUGAAAUGCGUAGAUAUCUGGAGGAACACCGGUGGCGAAGGCGGCAUCCUGGACCGGCAUUGACGCUGAGGAGCGAAAGCCAGGGUAGCAAACGGGAUUAGAUACCCCGGUAGUCCUGGCCCUAAACGAUGAAUGCUUGGUGUGGCGGGUAUCGAUCCCUGCUGUGCCGAAGCUAACGCAUUAAGCAUUCCGCCUGGGGAGUACGGUCGCAAGGCUG
rnacentral:rRNA from 1 species